rnacentral:rRNA from 1 species
GAUGAACGCUAGCUACAGGCUUAACACAUGCAAGUCGAGGGGCAGCAUUUCAGUUUGCUUGCAAACUGGAGAUGGCGACCGGCGCACGGGUGAGUAACACGUAUCCAACCUGCCGAUAACUCGGGGAUAGCCUUUCGAAAGAAAGAUUAAUACCCGAUGGUAUAAUCAGACCGCAUGGUCUUGUUAUUAAAGAAUUUCGGUUAUCGAUGGGGAUGCGUUCCAUUAGGCAGUUGGUGAGGUAACGGCUCACCAAACCUUCGAUGGAUAGGGGUUCUGAGAGGAAGGUCCCCCACAUUGGAACUGAGACACGGUCCAAACUCCUACGGGAGGCAGCAGUGAGGAAUAUUGGUCAAUGGGCGCAGGCCUGAACCAGCCAAGUAGCGUGAAGGAUGACUGCCCUAUGGGUUGUAAACUUCUUUUAUAUGGGAAUAAAGUUUUCCACGUGUGGAAUUUUGUAUGUACCAUAUGAAUAAGGAUCGGCUAACUCCGUGCCAGCAGCCGCGGUAAUACGGAGGAUCCGAGCGUUAUCCGGAUUUAUUGGGUUUAAAGGGAGCGUAGGUGGACAGUUAAGUCAGUUGUGAAAGUUUGCGGCUCAACCGUAAAAUUGCGGUUGAUACUGGCUGUCUUGAGUACAGUAGAGGUGGGCGGAAUUCGUGGUGUAGCGGUGAAAUGCUUAGAUAUCACGAAGAACUCCGAUUGCGAAGGCAGCUCACUGGACUGCAACUGACACUGAUGCUCGAAAGUGUGGGUAUCAAACAGGAUUAGAUACCCUGGUAGUCCACACAGUAAACGAUGAAUACUCGCUGUUUGCGAUAUACAGUAAGCGGCCAAGCGAAAGCAUUAAGUAUUCCACCUGGGGAGUACGCCGGCAACGGUGAAACUCAAAGGAAUUGACGGGGGCCCGCACAAGCGGAGGAACAUGUGGUUUAAUUCGAUGAUACGCGAGGAACCUUACCCGGGCUUAAAUUGCAUUUGAAUAUAUUGGAAACAGUAUAGCCGUAAGGCAAAUGUGAAGGUGCUGCAUGGUUGUCGUCAGCUCGUGCCGUGAGGUGUCGGCUUAAGUGCCAUAACGAGCGCAACCCUUAUCUUUAGUUACUAACAGGUCAUGCUGAGGACUCUAGAGAGACUGCCGUCGUAAGAUGUGAGGAAGGUGGGGAUGACGUCAAAUCAGCACGGCCCUUACGUCCGGGGCUACACACGUGUUACAAUGGGGGGUACAGAAGGCAGCUACCUGGUGACAGGAUGCUAAUCCCAAAAGCCUCUCUCAGUUCGGAUCGAAGUCUGCAACCCGACUUCGUGAAGCUGGAUUCGCUAGUAAUCGCGCAUCAGCCAUGGCGCGGUGAAUACGUUCCCGGGCCU